GCAAAACAAAAGGAACACCUGACACGAAUCCCUAUGGUUGACAGCCAUAUUCUCUGAGAAUUCCAAUGAGUUAGGGAGGAAGCAGCCUGCAAAUGAAUUACAGCUGAUAGUUGUUUGCUUCUUCACAACAACUUGCUGACCCAGAGACAUCAUUCUCC